ensembl:lncRNA
CUACCCCGGCGCGGACUCCAGCUUGUCCAAGAAAACACUCUAGUCCUUUUUUCCCCCCUCUCUCUCUCUCUCUCUCUCUCUCCCUCUCUAACUACGUGUCUCCCUCUCUCCCUCUCCCCCUCUCCCUCUCCUCUCUCCUCAGCGCUUUAAUUGCUUUGCGGAGUGUCAUAGCCGGGAAGCAGGGGGAGAGGUGCUGCACACACUUGCACCGGCUGCACCCAGCCAAAAGGCAGCACGUUCACUGGGCUCAGUGUAAACACGGGAUUAGAGCGAGACACGGAGCGCCCAGACCUUCCUGCCCUCUUUUUCCCUCGUUAGGACUUCUUCACACAACUUUGACUCCAUCACGUGAAACAAGAGGACACUGACACAGAGCUGGAGGAAGGGGAAAAAAAAGAGGAAAAAAAAAAAAACCCAGACAGGACCCUGAAAGAAGCUAUCACUGGCCGUCGGAGAGUAGCAGGUUAGUCAAAAUGUUAGCAAAAGGAGGCGAGCGGAAAUGAACGACGCAAAGAAAGUGUGUUUUGUUGUUUGCUUUUUGUAAUGAGGACGACAGCCGCGGUGAGGAUAAAGUCACUUGGUGUCUGGGUUUCUGUCGAAAGUUGUAAACAAAUGCAGCGGCACACAAGCACAAGCAGCAGUGUGGACAGACAUCACGUCAGGGCUUAUCUAACAACGCUGGGCUGAAUGGACACUGAGGAAUACUGAUGAAAAAACAAAGAACAAAAGUGACAAGAGCGACAGAGGGGCCACUCACCCCAGCACAGUGACACGACUCAAACAAAAACAACACACUCAUUAAAAAGCUGCUGAAUAUCAAUGUGAAGAAUGGGAGCUUAAAAGAAGAAAAAAACAUACACAUACAAACACACACACACACACACACACACACACACACACACACACACGCAGACACACCAACUCAUAAAGAUUUUUGUGUUCGGCUUUUGUGUUCAGUAAAAAUCUACUGGGAGUAAAGUUUUUUUUUUGUUUAAAAUACCCAAAAAAGGGGGAAGGAAGAACGAAGGAAGGAGAAAAAAAAGCCUUUGGUCAGUGCCAACUUACCAUCCACCAUGUCCUGGCUGAGAUGUCGUAGCAAAGCUGCCAUUUGAUGGAGCCCUCCGUGGUUUUGCUUGCCAUUAUGCUGUCAGCGAGCUUCAUCUGAUGCUAGUGCACUCACCGGAGAUAAGACACCUAAUUGAGAAAACAUUUGCACUGGCAUGUUGGGCAACAUGUAGCCCGCUCCAUACCAUAUGGAAUCAUGGGUAAAAAAAAAAAAAAAGCCUUGACAAUGAACCAAUCUGGAGCAGCCCCUGUGGCAAGAUCGUUCUGGACAGAGAUGGAGGCUGGAGACAACGCUCAGGAUGAGAAAGACCCCAUCAUGGCAUCAUAAUCAAGCACAUCUAAACUCUAUUUUCUCUUCAUAGUUUCAGUCCCAAGAGGUCCAAGCUCUCUGUGAAUUGUACUGAACAGCCAUGCAGAAAGUGAGUAGAUGAGAUACUAAUACUCAAUACUGAGUGAGUUUUAGUCAAGUAUCUCUCCCAUCAUUUCAAAUGAUAAUUUAGCAGUAGGUGUGAUAUGACCACUGUGAGAGAUUUACAAGUAAAUCAGCUAAAGUAAAAGGAAGAAUGAACACACACUCUUCCUCCUCCUCCUCUCCCUCUCCCUCUCCAUGGUUGGGUUUGCUCCGAGACGGAAUACCUGAGCAGUCAGGGGAGAGCUGCUGUGACCAUCAAACAGUCCCCCCUUUGUCGACGUUACUCAGGAAUUUGAUUCGGUAUCCAGAUAUCCAAAAGGUAGGAGGAGAGAGAGAGGGAGCGAGGGAACAGGUAUGGCCGGUAUGACAUCUACACUAAAUCCAAAUGCAAAGACGGACAUCCAUGCUCCAGUUGACCCAGUUUUAUUUCUCCGCUAAUUUAGCCUGGUCCAGUCGCUUGUUGUGCAGGUUUUUAAAAAGUUUCAUGCUUCAUCUUAAGAGAUCAUUAUAAAGGCUACAAUUUGAAACAAAGUCAAACUAUAUUAAAAGAGUUGUUUACACCCAGAUUGAUUUGGUGUAUUUACAGUGCUUUAUAGAUCACAGAAUAUGAUAGACAAUAAAGUUGAGAGAAAUAAAUGUUUUUUUUUAAUUAUUUGUAAAUUAUACUUUUGGGCUUUUAAAAAAAACUUUCAAAAUAU